rnacentral:rRNA from 1 species
GACGAACGCUGGCGGCGUGCUUAACACAUGCAAGUCGAGCGGUAAGGCCCUUCGGGGUACACGAGCGGCGAACGGGUGAGUAACACGUGAGCAAUCUGCCCAUCACAUCGGGAUAACUCCGGGAAACCGAAGCUAAUACCGAAUACGACCACUUCAGGCAUCUGACGGUGGUGGAAAGUUCCGGCGGUGAUGGAUGAGCUCGCGGCCUAUCAGCUAGUUGGUGAGGUAACGGCCCACCAAGGCUUCGACGGGUAGCCGGCCUGAGAGGGUGACCGGCCACACUGGGACUGAGACACGGCCCAGACUCCUACGGGAGGCAGCAGUGGGGAAUAUUGGACAAUGGGCGAAAGCCUGAUCCAGCAACGCCGCGUGAGGGAUGACGGCC